GGUUAGAUCUGAACAAAUGAAUUUGGAAUCCACUGUUGUCUCAUGCAGAUGGAGUCCGUGCAUAAGCCAGGGGUGAGUCCGUGUAGCGUAUGGGAUGGAGAGCUGGCCUCCGAGCCUAGAAAACCUUGAAGUCCUGAUUCUGAAGCCUAUGGUCUGUCUGCCUGAGGGAAAGUCACUUGACCAGUAAAUUCUCUAAGACUGUGAGGUUCAGAACCAGAGGCUGUAUAUCUGCAUUAGUAAAACUAGUUCCCAAAUCCCUGAAACAUAGUGUUGUCCCUCCCUGUACCAUUGGGAGCUGAAUGAAUGAAUGGGAAGGGAUUUAUUAAGUGCCUUUUGUAUGCCAGGCACUGUGUUCACUGUGCUGGGGAUACAUUACAAGAAAGUAUGACAGUCCCUGCCUUUACAGAUUCUACAUCCUGAUGGGAGAAGACAGCGUAUAAAGGGGACCUGGAAAGGGAGAUGGGGACAUGGCGACAGAGGCCUGUUUUGCCUAGCACACUCACGCCAAACUGCGCUCCCCUUCCUGCCCGGCGCAAUACACCUUUCUGAUCAACCAUCCAGCCUGUCUUGGGCUGGAAAUUUGUUUCACUCUGUCUUUUUGUGGGUUCUGCCGCUUUAGAAUUUGUUAUAGAGCCAUUUUUUAGUAUUUGGCGGGGUUUGGGGGAGAGCUCAAGCAAGUCACUGAUUUCACUCUGCCAUCUUGUCUCCAGCCCCACAAGUAUUUCUUAGAUGCUUAAAUAUGCCGGGAGGAUUUUGUCUCCAUUCUUCUGGUUCUUACCUUCCCUGGAAAAUAGAACCUUCUUGAGGCAGCUGAUGGUACAGGAAGAUCAGUGUUCAAAUCCAGCCUUGGACGCUUACCUAGCUGUGUGACCUUUGAUCUCUUCUGGGCAGUGUCUUGGGCCCAACGCAACCACCACCCUGUCAUGUGGGACUCAUCAUUCACAAGGAACUCCUCCGUCACAGCGGCGACUGUUUUGGGUGAGCAUCCCUCUCCUUUCGUG